GACGAACGCUGGCGGCGUGCUUAACACAUGCAAGUCGAACGGAAAGGCCCUGCUUGCCGGGUACUCGAGUGGCGAACGGGUGAGUAACACGUGGGUGAUCUGCCCUGCACUUCGGGAUAAGCCUGGGAAACUGGGUCUAAUACCGGAUAGGAGCCAUUUUUAGUGUGAUGGUUGGAAAGUUUUUUCGGUGUAGGAUGAGCUCGCGGCCUAUCAGCUUGUUGGUGGGGUAAUGGCCUACCAAGGCGGCGACGGGUAGCCAGCCUGAGAGGGUGGACGGCCACAUUGGGACUGAGAUACGGCCCAGACUCCUACGGGAGGCAGCAGUGGGGAAUAUUGCACAAUGGGCGCAAGCCUGAUGCAGCGACGCCGCGUGGGGGAUGACGGCCUUCGGGUUGUAAACUCCUUUCGCUAGGGACGAAGCUUUUUGUGACGGUACCUAGAUAAGAAGCACCGGCUAACUACGUG
rnacentral:rRNA from 1 species